UGUGACAAGGAUGCAGAACCUCUUGU
rnacentral:piRNA from 1 species